UACGGAGGGUGCGAGCGUUGUCCGGAAUUAUUGGGCGUAAAGCGCGCGCAGGCGGUUUCUUAAGUCUGAUGUGAAAGCCCACGGCUCAACCGUGGAGGGUCAUUGGAAGCUGGGAAACUUGAGUGCAGAAGAGAAGAGUGGAAUUCCACGUGUAGCGGUGAAAUGCGUAGAGAUGUGGAGGAACACCAGUGGCGAAGGCGACUCUUUGGUCUGUAACUGACGCUGAGGCGCGAAAGCGUGGGGAGCAAACAGG
rnacentral:rRNA from 1 species